rnacentral:rRNA from 1 species
CGGGUUGUAAAGUACUUUCAGCAGUGAGGAAGGUGGGUAUGUUAAUAGCAUACUCAUUUGACGUUAGCUGCAGAAGAAGCACCGGCUAACUCCGUGCCAGCAGCCGCGGUAAUACGGAGGGUGCGAGCGUUAAUCGGAAUUACUGGGCGUAAAGCGCAUGCAGGUGGUUUGUUAAGUCAGAUGUGAAAGCCCGGGGCUCAACCUCGGAAUUGCAUUUGAAACUGGCAAACUAGAGUACUGUAGAGGGGGUAGAAUUUCAGGUGUAGCGGUGAAAUGCGUAGAGAUCUGAAGGAAUACCGGUGGCGAAGGCGGCCCCCUGGACAGAUACUGACACUCAGAUGCGAAAGCGUGGGGAGCAAACAGGAUUAGAUACCCUGGUAG